UGGGGGAUAUUGCACAAUGGGCGAAAGCCUGAUGCAGCGACGCCGUGUGGGGGAUGAAGGCCUUCGGGUUGUAAACUUCUUUUGCUCUGAACAAGGCGCACCAUGGGGUGUGUUGAGUGUAGGGGUUGAUUAGCGCCGGCUAACUACGUGCCAGCAGCCGCGGUAAUACGUAGGGCGCGAGCGUUGUCCGGAAUUAUUGGGCGUAAAGGGCUUGUAGGUGGCUGGUUGCGUCUGUCGUGAAAGCUCAUGGCUUAACUUGGGGUGUGCGGUGGGUACGGGCUGGCUUGAGUGCAGUAGGGGAGGGUGGAAUUCCUGGUGUAGCGGUGGAAUGCGCAGAUAUCAGGAGGAAUACCGGUGGCGAAGGCGGGUCUCUGGGCUGUUACUGACACUGAGGAGCGAAAGCAUGGGGAGCGAACAGG
rnacentral:rRNA from 1 species